ACUAUCCAGCGAAACCACAGCCAAGG
rnacentral:ncRNA from 4 species